GACGAACGCUGGCGGCGUGCUUAACACAUGCAAGUCGAACGGUAAGGCCCUUCGGGGUACACGAGUGGCGAACGGGUGAGUAACACGUGGGUGAUCUGCCCUGCACUUCGGGAUAAGCCUGGGAAACUGGGUCUAAUACCGGAUAGGACCACUGCCUGCAUGGGGGGUGGUGGAAAGCUUUUGCGGUGUGGGAUGGGCCCGCGGCCUAUCAGCUUGUUGGUGGGGUGAUGGCCUACCAAGGCGACGACGGGUAGCCGGCCGGAGAGGGUGACCGGCCACACUGGGACGGAGAUACGGCCCAGACUCCUACGGGAGGCAGCAGUGGGGAAUAUUGCACAAUGGGCGCAAGCCUGAUGCAGCGACGCCGCGUGAGGGAUGACGGCCUUCGGGUUGUAAACCUCUUUCAGCACCGACGAAGCGCAAGUGACGGUAGGUGCAGAAGAAGGACCGGCCAACUACGUGCCAGCAGCCGCCGUAA
rnacentral:rRNA from 1 species